AAUGGGCGAAAGCCUGAUCCAGCCAUGCCGCGUGUGUGAAGAAGGUCUUCGGAUUGUAAAGCACUUUAAGUUGGGAGGAAGGGCAGUAAAUUAAUACUUUGNNGNUUUGACGUUACCGACAGAAUAAGCACCGGCUAACUCUGUGCCAGCAGCCGCGGUAAUACGGAGGGUGCAAGCGUUAAUCGGAAUUACUGGGNGUAAACCGCGCGUAGGUGGUUCGUUAAGUCGGAUGUGAAAUCCCCGGGCUCAACCUGGGAACUGCAUUCGAAACUGNCGAGCUAGAGUACGGGUAGAGGUAGGUGGAAUUUCCNGUGUAGGGGUGAAAUGCGUAGAUAU
rnacentral:rRNA from 1 species